rnacentral:lncRNA from 1 species
UGAAUUUCUAAAUCAUUUAUAGUCAUCCUGGAUAUUUUAAAUGUAAUUUUCUGUUUUGUUUUGUCACUUGUGUUUCACUCAUAGGGAGGCAUUGUAGCAUAAAGGAAGAAUAUUAGACAUUGAAUUCAGAGAAAUAUUGGCUUUACCACUAAAAAACAAUGUGACUCUGGCAUUUAUGAAUAUCAUCUGUCUAAUCUGGAGAAACACGUCUUAUAGUUGGCCACUCUCAUGGUUCUUGUUGCCUUCUGUUGUUUGGAGGAAUCUAAGGAUUUAUGGAAGUUAUGUUGGUAUAUCAGAAGCUUGUUGGUAUAUAUUUGAGUAGAAGGGCUUCAAUGAAGUCAACUUAUACCACUAAGUGGAUUGUUGAUUCUUCGAUGGAUGAGGCUGUAUAAGGGGAUCAACAUUAAUCAAUGUUGCUGACAGGCUGGACAUUCAGCAGCAACCUUGAGUUACUCAAUAUGAAUAGCAA